CCAGGGAGCAAAUCAGGGGCAAAUAGCC
rnacentral:piRNA from 1 species